rfam:Corchorus capsularis cultivar CVL-1 contig08599, whole genome shotgun sequence.
UUGCCUUAAACUAAUGAGUAAGGAAAACAAAGCGAGUGGUGGGAGCCGCUUGCCGCGCCCAAUCUUUGGUGUGCAAGAAUUUAUGGAGGGGUUAUAGGCUGGCCGAGCGCUGACGCUGCCUACUUGUGCAGAACUCGCUCGAGCGGGCCUCCC